AUACGGAGGAUCCGAGCGUUAUCCGGAUUUAUUGGGUUUAAAGGGUGCGCAGGCGGGAGAUUAAGUCGGCGGUGAAAUUUUGUAGAUCAAAUGUAAAAGUGCCGUCGAAACUGGUUUUCUUUAGUGUAGAUGAAGUAGGCGGGAUUUGGGGUGUAGCGGUGAAAUGCAUAGAUAUCACGAGGCACUCCGAUUGCGCAGGCAGCUUACUAAACUACUACUGACGCUCAGGCACGAAGGCGUGGGGAUCAAACAGGAUUAGAUACCCUGGUAGUCCACGCUGUAAACUAUGAUAACUAUCUUUUAGCGAUACACAGUUAGAGGGUACGAGAAAUCAUUAAGUUAUCCACCUGGGGAUUCCGUUCGCAAGAAUGAAACUCAAAUCAAUUGACGGGG
rnacentral:rRNA from 1 species